rnacentral:lncRNA from 1 species
AGAAAUCUGCCUGCCUCUGCCUCCCGAGUGCUGUGAUUAAAGGCGUGCGCCACCAUGCCCAGCUCGUGAGCUCAGUUUCUUAAACAAGUCAUACUGCUUUUUACUAACAUGCAUUUGGGAAAUCCUCUAGAGCUGUCUUAGCAAAAGGAUGAGGUGAAGUUUAGAUCUUCUGUAGAACAUCAUGAUUUGACAAACAGAGUUUGAAAUUGGUGGUCAAGUCAUUAUGGAUAGCAUAGGCUAGUUUUAAUUAGUUUACUCUGUAGCUCAGGCUGGCCUCAAACUCUAAAUUCUCUAGUCACAGCCUCCCCUACUGCUGGGGUUACAGGCAUAUAUCACCACAUCUAGCUCCUUAAAGUUAGUCAUUUGGUUGUUUUGGAUGCUGGGAGAAGUUAAGUAUAGUUUUCAUUUUACUCAACUUGUGCUACAAGAAAUACGAUCUUUUGAAAGUGCCUAAAUUCUUCCUUAAUUUUGAAAAUCUCAUGCCAGAUGAGAGCAGGCUCUUCAGUUGUAAAUUCUACCUUUGAUGGCCACCUUAGCUGCAGGAAUGAAGUGUUUUCUUAGAUCAGCUGACCGUGAGGGACUUGGCUUCCUGUCAAGACUUGUGUUUGGGUAAGUUCUUUGAUCAGUAUCAGUAAAAUGCUCUUUGGCACUGAAGAGCUGGCUCAGCAGUAAAGAACAGGUUAAAAGUAGGCAUUGCUCUUCCAAAGGACCAGAGUUCAAGUCUCAGCACCAACUCAUAACCACCUGUAACUCCAGUUCCAGGCCGUCUGACUUCUGCUUCCAAGGCACCUAUAUACAUAUGACUUACACAACACAACACAUACACACAAAAUUAAAAUCUUUCUUUAAAAAGUGCUACUUUCAGGCUGGAGAGAUGGCUCAGCGGUUAAGAGCACUGUCUGUACUUCUAGAGGUCCUGAGUUUAAUUCCCAGCAACCACAUGGUGGUUCACAACCAUCUGUAAUGGGAUUCGAUGCCCUCUUCCAGUGUGUCUGAAGAUAGCGACAGUGUACUUACAUACAUAAAAUAAAUAAAUCUUUUAAAAAGCUGCUACUUUCUCAAAAUAUUAGACACCUACUGUUUCCAGGAAGGAAAAUUAAACAGACAAACUGUAUAUUCUUCUGUGGUAUUGCUUUACUGAAGGAUUCUUCACAGAGCCCUUGGGAGAGGAGACUGGCCCGCAACACUACACUGUGGAGCCGACUGCUGGCCCCCUCGUGCAAAUCCUCAAGUGUAUUACACGGCAGCUCCAUCUUGUUUGUUAGGAUACGGCAAGGCAGAGACUGUUUCUUGCCAGCUUGGAAGUCUUUGAAGGAUUGGCUUACUACUGUCUUUAUUUAAUAAAGACAGGUCAAGAUAGUUGAGAAUCAUAGUUUAUUUCGGAGUGAAACCCUUCAGGGGUCUUAAUUUUGUUUUGUUUUUGCAGACAGAGUCUUAGGAGCCAAGUCUGGCCUUGAAUGCCUGGCACUCUUACACCCACUCCACCUGUACCCCCUCACUCCCACCCCCAUGCUGUGAGUGCUACACACCCAGCUCAGGUUUUUUUUUUUUUUUUUAAAGAGUUCUUUUUAUUUAUAUGAGUACAUUGUAGCUAUCUUCAGACACACCAGCAGAGGGCAUCAGAUCCCAUUACAGAUGGUUGUGAGCCACCAUGUGGUUGCUGGGAAUUGAACUCAGAACCUCUGGAAGAGCAGUCAGUGCUCUUAACCACUGAUCAAUCUCUCUAGCCCCAGACAUCAGUUUUAAGAAAGAAAUCAAAGCCUGGUAUAGUGGUGCAUGUCUUUAAUUUCAGGAGAGGAAGGUGAAUCCCUGCGUUCUAGAACAGCCUGGGCUAUACAGAGACCUCCUUCCUCCCAAACCCACCACCAGCACCAAAACCAAGCCCUUUGCCUUUGAUACAUUCUUUAGCACCUUCAUCUUUCUAUGAAUGAGUAGGCUAGAGUCUGUAGAGACAUGGCUCAGCUUUCUCCCUAGAGUGACUGUUACUCUGGGAAUACAUUCUUAGGUUAUUAAAUGGUUCCUUUUUGUCCUGAGUUGUUUGGUAGGACCCUGCCUUGCUGAGGGAAGUCUCUUUAGUUCAUAUCAUUUAUUGUUGAGGGUUAGGAGACUUGGAGGGGAGUCUUUACCUUGUGUGUCCUUGGAGAACUGAAGAGCCUAUAUCCUAAAGGCCCUAAAGGAUAUAGGCUUUGGGUUUGAAUUGUAAUUCCCAGUAACAAAAGACAUGACAAUGUUUCCUUACUCUUUCCUUUUUUUCUUUCAUAAAGUUUUUUUUUUUUAAACAUGUAUGUGAAUGUUUUGCUUGCAUAUAUAUGUGUGUGUUGUGCUCUUGGAGGUCAGAAAAAUGCAUUGGAGUCCCUGAAGCUAGGGUUACAGCUAGUUGUGAAGCUACUAUGUGGGUGCUUGGAACUCCCUGGUCUCUUUUGAAAGCGCAGCAAAUGUCCUUAACUAUUGAGCUAACUCUCUAGCCCAGGCAUGCUAGUGUUUAAAGAUGAGGAGGCUCAGGUCUGAGAGGGUGUCUUCCAGGGCUCUUGUAAGACCCCAUGGGACUGUACCAUCAUGCCUGUUUUUAGUCUGAAACAUUUUAUAACACAAACUCUUAGAACAAGUAUUGUUAUAUCAAAAAUAUACAUUUAGCUGGGUGUGGCGAUGUAGGCCUGAAACCCAGCAUUUGGGAGCCAGAGACAUGCAAAUUGAGUUUGAGGCCAGCCUAGUCUAGAAAACAAAUUUCAGGCCAGCUCGUGGGACCCAUCUCAAAGCAAAGCAAAGCAAAACCCCAAAACAAAACAAUGAAAAUACAGAUUUGUAAGUACAAUGUGUGUGGGGUAUGGGGGGAGCUAUAAAAUUUCUAUUAUUGACAGGAUUAAUCAUAGGCUGACAAUAAAUAAAGCCUCUGGUGAUGGAAUGCAGGGUGGGUCAGGACCUUCUGUGAUGUUAUGGUGCACCCUGUAUUUCCCACACCCUGGAGGCAGGUUCAGGAAAGACUGUGAGAUUGUUGAGGACCUAGGUCACAUAGUGAGAUCCUGUCUCAAAACACACACCAAUACCAAUACAAACAAAACCCAGACCUGUCUUUCAAGACUGUGUCACCAUAGAAACGCUUGCCUUGUCUACCAGAGAUGUCUGCAUCACUUGUAGCCAGCAGAUAACUGGGAAGCU